ensembl:lncRNA
CUCAAUUAAAGGGACUAACUACAAUUAACUACAAACUACAGCAAAUGGUUUGUAAUUCUUUCAGCAAGUGGCCAAAAUGGGUUUAGCGAGUGACCUGCGUGCUCACCGCUAAGCAGGCCGGCGUUCUUUGCUUGGUCUCUGAGCCGCUGUUCCACAUCUUGGAUAAGCCGGAAGAGUGGCGAGAGCUCCAGCAAACUGGCCCAGUCCUCACCUGGAUCAUGUGGAAGAGCACAUGGCAAUAAUAAGCAUUAAAAAGGCUUUUUUUUUUUUUUUUUUUUUUUUUACAGUCUCUUUAACACAUCGAAUCUCUUUGACUUUGACAGCUGUUGAAUCAUCUUCAGCCUUAACCCUUCCACACAGUACACUGGCGGUCCAUUCUGCCGGCGGAAUAGAAAUCGACUUAUCAGACAUUUUCAAUCAGUAUAAACAAAUGAAUUAUUUUGUAGGUGAAAUUCUGUUAUAAGAUUAGUCAGGACACUGUUGGGUUUCUGUGUGUUGAGUAUCAUGACUCUGUGUUUAGCUGCUGGUGAGCAGGGUGAUGGGAAAGAGGAGGAGUGUGAGCCCUCUUCCGGUUAAACAAUUCACACCUGUCCACAAUAACAUUGGUACAGAGAUAAAACCGACAGCAGAACUAAAGCUUUUUUGAUAGUAAAGCCCCGUAUACAACUGCCACAAUAACAUUAUAACAUUUAAACCAAGUAGGCUAGUUUAAAAACAGAAAAACUUAUUUAAAUAAAACUGCAAAUUCUUAAAGCUCUGAGUGUUUGCUUUUAUAUGAGUCAUUCACCAUUACUAUGGCAUGUGACAUCAUAAAUAAAUUCAGUGCUGAACACGGGCACCGCAAAAACAGGCAGAAAUUCCAUUUCUUGGCCUCUGGUAAAAAGAGUUUAUUACUAUCUGAAGUUUAUUCUUACUACCUCCUAGUGAUUUAAAUAUGCAAGGGCACUUUUAAUUUAUACAAAUGCAAAUUGUCUCACCUGACAGUUUGGGGACUGUCAUGUGCACGGGAAAUGUCGUCUCCUUGAGAUCUGAUUGGGCACAAAGUUGAGACUGUCAGCUGAAGUUCUGUCACUAGAGAUGUGGUGGUCAGAAUACUGCCUUACCCUGGCUUUGAGCAGGGCUUACAUCCUGUUCUCUGUGUGAAGGAGAUGUACUGGACAAUACACCCUUCAAGCCAUUUAGCUCGCUCACAGAUGAAGCCUUUUCAUGAUCUUUCAGGGGUUGAGUGGAAACUGCUGCACAGCAAGACUGAUUGGCAUCUGUGCGGCAAAAAGCACUUUAAUAUCACAAUACGCAGUCAGAAUACAACACCACACAAAGAUGGUUUGUAUGGUGAGGAAAACAUGAGGAAAAUAUAAAAACUGCCAUUCUGACCAGUGAGAUUAACUCAUUCAUACUUUUAAUUAAUACCUUUAGCUACAGGGACCGACACAGUCCAUGCUCUAGAGCCUGUGUCCCUGUCAAACGCUUGCUUCACUGGCAGGUCUGCAAAAGAAACAGUAAAGACUACUAAGGAAUGCAGGACGCACUCCUUUCCAUUUCUAUGUCGACGAAAUGAAUGACCGUGUUGUACCAGAGCUCUGCUGGCUCUGGCCUCUGAUGAAGAGACUGGAAAGUUUGCCAUCCUCCAGCAGCUGAAUGAGGCGCUCUAACUGAGAGAGGAUUUUGUGCUGAGUCAGGGCCAUUGCUUUCAGAGGGUUUUUUCUGCCUCUGGGCUGCACCAUACAAUAAUCCCUAUACGAGAAUGAGCCUGAUAAUAUGGCCUAUUGAAAGGAGAAAAGCACGCUUAUAGAAUUUUAGUGCUAUUCAUAAGGCAGCUCAAUACAAGUCCGGUGUGCCGUGUUUAACAUGCUGGUGGCUUAAGGUGUGUGUUACCUCUGCAGUAGCAGCACGGAGCUGGCUGAUCUUGCAGGUGCAGUGUAGUGAAGAAAGAGCAACGUCCAGCUCGGUGUAUCUCUGAUUUAAUUGCUCCCACAGCUCCUUCUGCCAUGUCUUUUCAUCCUAUAGCACCAGAACAUCAUUCCACCAAGUAUGCCAGAGGAUUUGUGAAACCCAUGCUCACUUAAGUACAACGACUUGCUUUACGGUUAAUUAGCAAUGUUAAGAAGGCGGGAAAAGCUUCCAGUAAACUGCUUGUUAUGGUGUAGCACAUGUUUCUUGAAUAAACAGUGAAGCUAGUGGAAUCUAGAGAAUGUAGAUGUAGAUGAACGAGUAUGUUUCUUUUAACAAAGGACAUAAACACCAGACACGAUUAGGUAAGCGUUACAUACUUUUCCUUUCCAUGCACAAUGUGAACCACAGGUGGUAGCCAAAAUGUUCCUUUUUGCUCAGACAGUGUAGUAUUUUGGACUUUUGGGGGACUGAUUUUUACUUUUAGGGUUUCAAAUGGUAAUUGUCAUUGUUACCACUUAAUACUUUGAAUAGCAUCCAUAAAUGUUAAAUAAUUUGCAAAAAUGUUAUAAAAGUUUGCAAAUGAUGUUCAAAUGAUGAUUAAAAUGAGAGUUGUCAAAUCAAAGUGGUAGUUCUACUUCCUUUCCAGUGGCAGUGGUGGCUCAACGGUUAAGGCUCUGGGUUACUGAACAGAAGGUGGGGGUUAAAGCCCAGCACUACCAAGCUGCCACUGUUGGGCUCUUGAGCAAGGCCUUUAACCCUCUCUGCUCUAGGGGUGCUGUAUCAUAGCUGAUCCUGCGCUCUGAACCCAACUUCCUAAGAAGCUGGGAUAUGUAAAAAUAAAGAAACAGAAUUUCACUAACUCAAUUAAAAAAUCUUGUAUGGUAGCACUACUUGUAUUGUUCUCCUCUUGAUAUAUCACUUUGCUUGUAUUUCCUCAUUUGUAAGUCGCUUUGGAUAAAAGCGUCUGCUAAAUGAAUAAAUGUAAAUGGAAACUAGCCAAGUCUCAUGUUAGAUAGCCAAAAAGUUAAUAUUUAUAUUUUAUCAGUCUUUUAGGCCUGUAAACAGUGAUAACACCUGAGGCAAGUUUAAUGAUAAAUCCAACUUUUUGUCCAAUUUACACAUUUUUUAACGCAAUUGGCCCUCACAUGCAAGAAAAAAAAAAGCAUUUAGAAGUCUACUAAGAAUCUGGGUUCAGACCAGGUUCAGACCAGGAUGAUUAACAGUCCAACUAACGCCCCUGGACAUGUGGCCUAUUUUUUGUGUCUCCAUGCAGCUGUAAUGGGUGCUGGGAUGCAGCGUAACUAAUUUAAUACAUUUAUGAAUUCAUGAAUCCAUAAUUUGUUGUGAAUUGUUGAACUUUCUCAACAUCUUGGGAAAGUGCAGAAUGGCAAACUGUUUAUUCUACCAGAUGGAGUUGGAUGAUGGACAUGGAUCAAUGCUCAAAUUACCUGAGACUGAAAAAUCUUUGACAAGCAAUUAUAGAGCCUUGACCUAAAUGCAACAUGAUGUUGAUUGCAAUGCGUGAACCUCCCAGGCUACGUGAACAUCAGACACGGCUGCUGAUCCCUCGAGGAAGAAAAGCAAGAAAGCUAGAAUGGGAAGCGUUACCUCUUUUACAACGGAGUCUUCAGCAGACACGAGACAAACACAUGAGCUGUUAGCACAACUCACCGAAAUGAAGUGUAGAAUUCAGAAGAGCUUAGGACAGCUUAGUACAGCUGCCUCUCAUACAGACAGACCCUGAUGUACUCUCAGUAGCUGCUUCUCAUUCUCUAAACAUGAAUAAUGAGCCUACCCUGCCGGAGAGUGCUGACAACCCGCCAUCCGAGUGUUUUGAGUAUCAGAAGUACAGCUCAGCAAAAGCAAAUGCUAUGCAGACUCAAAUAAAUGCUGCACUACUGAAAUUGAAGCUGGAUCUUCCACAGACGAUUAAAUGCCUAACCCAUUUCUUGAUAUAGUCGCUUGAGUGACUGGGCUAUCCCACAAAAUAUCGUCUUCAUUUAAGUGCAUUUAUACGCAUUCAAAAGUUCAUUGAAGCUGCAACAUGAGAAAAGGCCAUAUAUUUUGGCUGUGCAGUGGCGGAUGUAGAAACGAUAAGGUUAUGAACAUAGACACCAUUGGUUUCACUAGGUGCACAGGCUAGUCUGUAUGUUACUUUACAAAGCAAAACAUCUAAUUGUUGAUAUGAAGUUUUCUUCUAUGGGAGUUAUCUCCUAUGGAGUUUUCUCCUAUGGAAGAGUCUUCAAGACAAAGACAAAAAACUUUACGCUUUCCGGUUUGUCUUAUUAACUUCAAUUGAGAAGAAAGUCUGGUGAAGGAGUGACUAUUUGUACUGUAGGUGUUAUAAUGUAAGUGAUAACAGGAACUAACUUGUCUUGCGGAUGUUCCUUAACUUUAAACGUAUCUAUACAUGGAUCAAAAGCAUCACGUAAAAUAAAAUUAGGAAUCAUUGGGAAAUCACUGUAGUAUAAGAAGAAUAAAACAUUUUGGGACAUGCUGUUAUGUCAGAAACCACCCUCCCAUAUCACACCACCCCGGCAUGGAUUAUUUUUCUAUAACAGCACGCCCUGUUGUGUUUUAUUCCUUCCACGUGCUUCCACGAUGCGCUGAUUACAUGCAAGUGGAAAGUGUUCUUACUGUAAUGUAAAACACUGGUGCACAAAUUCCUUAUAUUGUAGUGUUUUAUUUUAAACUAAAGGCAUUUCUUUUGAGACUACCUUAAAUUUACAUAGGACAUUGCAUUAUCUGUGAUAGAUUGAUGGUUUGGCACUAUAAGCACAUAAACUACUGACACUAACUGUCCCUCAGUGGCGGAAUGAACUUCCAACCUCAAUCUGGAACACAGAAUCUGUCACUAUCUUCAAAAAACAGCUAAAGACCCACCUCUUCCGUGAGCACAUAACUAACCCCCAACUAAAACGCCAAUUCCACAUUAUCCUUUAAAAAAUAAAUGACUCUUACACCUCUACUCUGCGCACUUUGCUUUUCUAUAACUCAAUUAAAGAUCUUGUAAGGUAGUACUACUUAUAUUGUUCUCCACUUGAUAUAUUGCUUUGCUUGUAAUUUCCUCAUUUCUAAGUCGCUUUGGAUAAAAGCGUCCACUAAAUGAAUAAACGUAAAUGUAAAUGUACUCGAAACGUUUCUUGAAGGUGAAGAAUGUCUCUGACUUGCAAGAAAAACAAUCAUCCUAGAGUGGCACCUGGAACUGGUGCUAAACAGUUUGUGCAAAAUGUCAUAUGAACACAUGGAAAAUGUGCAUAUAAAAGUGUCUAAAGUUACUUCAAACAGAUUUUAUGCUGGACUGCUAUCACUACAGCAAGAUGAGACAGUGAAUUGCUUGCAUUUGUGUCUGUGUUGGGAAUCUUCAGAGUAAAAUGUGUAUAAGCAAAAGAGAUUUGAGCGUUGAAACUGACCGCUUGCUCAUCACCCAGAGGUGUGGACCGACCUUGCUCCCACUGCUGCCUUGCCAUAAACACACUCACUCUAUUCAACACUGCAGUCAGUUCAGCAUGCCAGUGACGCUGCUGCUUCCACUCUUCUUCAUCACCUGUGGAAACACACACACACACAAAGACAUCUAAUCUGUGGGAUUCUUUCUUUGUUGUAAAUCCAUCUGUACCACAGCCUUUCAAUAAUGUGUGCAGUGUACAUGUCACCUCCAGUAAGAGUGAGUAGGAUGUGUCCAGGCAGCAGGAGAGACAGCUCCGAGUUCACAGCAUUUCUUCUUUGAGCCUCUUUAUAGUCUUCCUCCUGAAGUUCUGCUGCUGUCUCCCUUAUUUGCUUAUCUGUGUCUGUCCACACAAGCUAA